ensembl:ncRNA Y69A2AR.43 ncRNA
GCGCAUUUUUGGAUACUUAGCGCUUUUCUCGAUCCUUGGCGCAUUUUCUGAUCCUUGGCGCAUUUUUGGAUACU